rnacentral:rRNA from 1 species
UACAGAGGUCUCAAGCGUUGUUCGGAUUCAUUGGGCGUAAAGGGUGCGUAGGCGGCGCGGUAAGUCGGGUGUGAAAUCUUGGAGCUUAACUCCGAAACUGCAUUCGAUACUGCCGUGCUUGAGGACUGGAGAGGAGACUGGAAUUUACGGUGUAGCGGUGAAAUGCGUAGAUAUCGUAAGGAAGACCAGUGGCGAGGGCGGGUCUCUGGACAGUUACCGACGCUGAGGCACGAAGGCCAGGGGAGCAAACGGG